rnacentral:rRNA from 1 species
GACAGAGGGGGCAAGCGUUGCUCGGAAUUAUUGGGCGUAAAGGGUGCGUAGGCGGCGCGGUAAGUCGGGUGUGAAAUCUCGGGGCUUAACUCCGAAACUGCAUUCGAUACUGCCGUGCUUGAGGACUGGAGAGGAGACUGGAAUUUACGGUGUAGCGGUGAAAUGCGUAGAUAUCUGGAGGAAUACCGGUGGCGAAGGCGGCAUCCUGGACCGGCAUUGACGCUGAUGAGCGAAAGCUAGGGGAGCAAACGGG